rnacentral:rRNA from 1 species
AUUGAACGCUGGCGGCAUGCCUUACACAUGCAAGUCGAACGGCAGCAUGGAGAGCUUGCUCUCUGAUGGCGAGUGGCGAACGGGUGAGUAAUGCAUCGGAACGUACCGUGUAAUGGGGGAUAACGUAGCGAAAGUUACGCUAAUACCGCAUACGACCUGAGGGUGAAAGCAGGGGAUCGCAAGACCUUGCGUUAUACGAGCGGCCGAUGUCAGAUUAGCUAGUUGGUGAGGUAAAGGCUCACCAAGGCGACGAUCUGUAGCGGGUCUGAGAGGACGAUCCGCCACACGGGGACUGAGACACGGCCCAGACUCCUACGGGAGGCAGCAGUGGGGAAUUUUGGACAAUGGGGGCAACCCUGGUCCAGCCAUGCCGCGUGAGUGAAGAAGGCCUUCGGGUUGUAAAGCUCUUUCGGCCGGGAAGAAAUCGCACAGGCUAAUACUCUGUGUGGAUGACGGUACCGGCAUAAGAAGCACCGGCUAACUACGUGCCAGCCGCCGCGGUAA